AACUUGAUGAUGUGGGAAUUUACGGAGUAGGCCCCUGAAGCGUUCCUAGGUCUCAAAGAAAAGUUUCCCAUCCAUCUGUGUGAAACUUGUGAUUACCCUUCGCAGCU